rnacentral:rRNA from 1 species
GCAUAUCAAUAAGCGGAGGAAAAGAAACCAACCGGGAUUGCCUCAGUAACGGCGAGUGAAGCGGCAAGAGCUCAAAUUUGAAAGCUGGCCCCUCCGGGGUCCGCGUUGUAAUUUGCAGAGGAUGCUUUGGGUGCGGCCCCCGUCUAAGUGCCCUGGAACGGGCCGUCAGAGAGGGUGAGAAUCCCGUCUUGGGCGGGGUGUCCGUGCCCGUGUAAAGCUCCUUCGACGAGUCGAGUUGUUUGGGAAUGCAGCUCUAAAUGGGUGGUAAAUUUCAUCUAAAGCUAAAUACUGGCCGGAGACCGAUAGCGCACAAGUAGAGUGAUCGAAAGAUGAAAAGCACUUUGAAAAGAGAGUUAAACAGCACGUGAAAUUGUUGAAAGGGAAGCGCUUGCGACCAGACUCGCCCUCGGGGUUCAGCCGGCACUCGUGCCGGUGUACUUCCCCGGGGGCGGGCCAGCGUCAGCUUGGGCGGCCGGUCAAAGGCCUCCGGAAUGUAGUGCCCCCCGGGGCACCUUAUAGCCGGAGGUGCAAUGCGGCCAGCCUGGGCUGAGGAACGCGCUUCGGCACGGACGCUGGCAUAAUGGUCGCAAACGACCCGUCUUGAAACACGGACCAAGGAGUCUAACAUCUACGCGAGUGUUCGGGUGUCAAACCCGUACGCGCAGUGAAAGCAAACGGAGGUGGGAGCCCCCUCGCGGGGCGCACCAUCGACCGAUCCUGAUGUCUUCGGAUGGAUUUGAGUAAGAGCGUAAAUGUGGGGACCCGAAAGAUGGUGAACUAUGCCUGAAUAGGGCGAAGCCAGAGGAAACUCUGGUGGAGGCUCGCAGCGGUUCUGACGUGCAAAUCGAUCGUCAAAUUGGGUAUAGGGGCGAAGAAUAAUCGAACCAUCUAGUAGCUGGUUCCUGCCGAAGUU